rnacentral:pre_miRNA from 1 species
GGUGGGAGGCUGGAUCCUGGGCUGUGUCCCCAACGCCCUGUGCUCACGGUCCUGCGCUGUUGGAUUCGUGCUCCCGGCCGGUCAGCCCCCU